ACCCGCACCACUUAUCGUGGUGGGAGACAGUGUCAGGCGGGCAGUUUGACUGGGGCGGUCGCCUCCUAAAAGGGAACGGAGGCGCUCAAAGGUUCCCUCAGAAUGGUUGGAAAUCAUUCAUAGAGGGUAAAGGCAUAAGGGAGCUUGACUGCGAGACCUACAAGUCGAGCAGGGUCGAAAGACGGACUUAGUGAUCCGGUG
rnacentral:rRNA from 1 species